CACUGACCUAAGUCAGGCUGCAUUUGAAAGGCAAUUCCUUUCCUCAAAACUCAGCCAGAAGAACAAAGUGGGUGAAAGGAAGGAUCUGCUCCUGGUCUAUUUCCUCUUCCAAUCUCUCUGCCACGCCGCGUACCCUGAGGCCUGAGGCGCAGGACCCUCCCAGGGAAGGCCUAGGGGCCUCGGCUCAGGACCCGACAGCAUCACUCCCACCCCUCACCACCACACACACAGGAUGGGGGACUGCUGCUGCUCUCCAGCCUGUGAGCCUGGAUAGCUAUUUUGUGACCCAGCUCCUGCUCAGUCUCAUUGCUGUCCCCGGUCUCUCCAGGGAGUAAGGGAUUCUCCAUCUGUGGUAAGUUACCUGUGACUCUUCAGCAGUUUCCUCUGAGCAUAAUUAUAUCUGAGAGCACAGGGGGCUCCUCAUUCCGUAUAUUUUUCAAAUAUUCAAGAUGUACAACGUGAUGAUUUGCUAUAAGUAUUGUGAAAUAUUCGCCACAGUCAAGCUUGUUGACAUACCCACCAGCUCACAUUGACUGUUUUCGUGUGUGUGUGUGGUGAGAAUACUCACGAUCUCCUCUCUGAGCCAAUUGCAAGUAGAUGUUAUUAGUAACUGUAGUGUCUGUGUUGUCCAUUAGGCCUCUAGAACCUACUGUUACUUGUGGAGGGUCUUUACUAUGAGUUGUCCAGGUCCUUGGCAUUUUGAACAAAGAAUUGACCAAAACACAGAGUAGCAGAGGAAUGAAACGCGGGGAGUGAAGCAGCGAAAGCAGGGAUUUAUUCAAGAGAGAAAGCGCUCUGUAGGGUGGGAGCGGGCCCAACAAGGGCUCAAGGGUGUUAAGUUCCCUGUUUGAUGUUCUUAUCUGCUACCCGGUAUCUGGAUGAAGGAUUUGGUCCCUGGCUAAUUAAAGGCUGAGGUGAAUUGGCGCCCUAUGCAGAUGAAGGGGUGGUCCCUGCAUUGCCUGCGGCUAAUCGUUGUAGGGAGAGUAGGCUCUGAUCCUUUGCUGCUCGGCUUGGGGACAGGGGGUUUUCCUUUUGGUUCCGCUGUCAGAAGUGUGUGUUAAUUGGCCUCAGGUUCCCUGCCCCCAGACCCAGGUGUUUUCCUUGUCAUCCAGCUUUGGGGAGGCAGCUCCAAUUGGCCUUGGGUUUCCUGUGCCCAGACCUUGCUGUUUUCUCAGACCUUGCUGUUGUCCCUGUCUCCAGACCCUGUUCUCCAGACCCUGUUCUCCAGACCCUGUUCUCCUGCCUCAAUGCUUACCAUGGAAAGUUUGUACCAACACCUGUCACCUCACUGCACCCACGCCCUGACUCUGGUUUUAGGAACCAGACAGCAGAGACCCCGCUCCUGGGCUGCUGGGGACAGCCAACAGCACAGGGGUCCUCAGCCUGUAGGAAGAAGAGUGAUGACAGCUGAGGUCCUGGGGCAGCACCUGGCUUCCCUGCAGAAGGCGGCCAGGCAGGGCCACCCUUGGUACUGAAGUUUGGUGGACUUGACUUGGCAGUGUCUGUACAAUAGUUAAAAUACUCUAAACAUACUUUCUUUUUCCAGAAGUGGAAAUAAAUUGCAAGAAAUACCCAAAUCA